rnacentral:rRNA from 1 species
ACUCAAAUGAAUAGACGGGGGCCCGCACAAGCGGCGGAGCAUGUGGAUUAAUUCGAUGCAACGCGAAGAACCUUACCUGGGUUUGACAUGCACAGGAUGUGCCUAGAGAUGGGUAUUCCCUUGUGGCCUGUGUGCAGGUGGUGCAUGGCUGUCGUCAGCUCGUGUCGUGAGAUGUUGGGUUAAGUCCCGCAACGAGCGCAACCCUUGUCUCAUGUUGCCAGCGCGUGAUGGCGGGGACUCGUGAGAGACUGCCGGGGUCAACUCGGAGGAAGGUGGGGAUGACGUCAAGUCAUCAUGCCCCUUAUGUCCAGGGCUUCACACAUGCUACAAUGGCCGGUACAAAGGGCUGCGAUGCCGUGAGGUGGAGCGAAUCCUUUCAAAGCCGGUCUCAGUUCGGAUCGGGGUCUGCAACUCGACCCCGUGAAGUCGGAGUCGCUAGUAAUCGCAGAUCAGCAACGCUGCGGUGAAUACGUUCCCGGGCCUUGUACACACCGCCCGU